UCUUCGUAGCCUUUAUGACUCGAGUGAUUAAGCCUGUAAGGGUUUAAAACCUGGUGCCCUAAAGUCAUCUGAUUUGGGAGUCAUCGGCCUAAAACUCGCUACAGGGGUCAUUUAGAAAGUUUAAGGGAGAGACGUCCACACAAAGAGUGGUUAAAGAAUAAAGAUAUAUAGGAAAAAAAAAAAAAAAAAAAAAAGAGAAGUUGAUUAAGCCCCGAACACUUGUUUUAGAGGAUUAGACCUUUGAUAAGGGGUAGGUAACUUGGUUGAUUCCUAGAGGUUGAAGCAGUCAAAAAUAAAGAGAAUCCUCAUUUGUUGACAUGUGGAACUACAAUCAGUAAAAUCUAACCAAACUUGAGUGGUGUAAGAAACUAGUAUUGACAAUUUAACAUUAGGUUACACCCUUGGAAAGAGAAAAGAAAAUAAGUUUGGGGGUGUGUGAACCCCACGAGCAAGGUAAGGAAAAAUUUGACUUCUAAGGUUGGGAAUUGGGUCAACUUAUUAUUGUACAGCGUUGCACUUGACUCUCCACACACACACCCGUUUUGCAUUGAAUAAGUGAGAAUUUAACUUUUGCAUUAUAGCUUUGAAGUGGUUCAUGGAAUCAAAGUUAUAUUUUUAAUUCUAAGACAUGAAGGCAAGUUAUCUAGCGAAAUGUAUUUUUAGUGAUUUCGUUUGUCUUGAUUGUGCUUGUGUGUCCGUUAAUUAUUCUUAUGUGCUUUAGUGUUUGCUCGAGGACUAGCAAAUGGUUAAGUUUGGGGGUAUUUGAUGAGUUUGUUUCACUCAUGGUUUUCGCACAUUUUUAGCUUGAUUAAAUACUAGAUUUUAUGAGUGUAGAACGUUUUUGAUGUGUUUGUUAGUGUUGUUUUGAAGAUAAGGAGAAGCAAUGAGAAAAGAAGUAUUAAAGUGGAUGAAGAGGCCAAAAACACGGAAUUGGGGCAGAAAGAUGGCGCUUAGGCGCUACGAAACGAAGAAAAGAUGAAAAUUGAACCCGAGAGGCAGCGCCUAGGCGCUACAAUCAUAGCGCCCAGGCGCUACCACCAGCGCCUAGGCGCUGAAGACAAGCGCCCAGGCGCUACAGCCAGCGCCUAGGCGCUGUCUUGUAGCGCCUAGGCGCUGCGAUUGGCGAUUUAGGGCGCGUUUUUUUGGGCCGUUUUUAAAGCCAUAGAAACCCUACUUCAACAGAAAAACGUGGAGGCACAUAUAAAUACAUCCUCCUCAUACUUUUGAAGGGGCUGGACAUAUUGGAGAGAAAAACAACAAGAAGGGAGAUUCAAGGGAGAAAUUUAAGAAGAUUAACACCAAGAAUUGAAGAUUGGAAGCACUCAUUGGAAGAGGAAGGAGAUCUUGGUGCAAGAAUUCCAUUUUUUCUUCCACAUCUUUAUUUCAAACUCGGUGAUGUAUUCUAAGACAAUCUCAUAUUUUUCUUCGUUUCGUAGCGCCUAGGCGCUAUAAGUAUAGCGCCUAGGCGCCAUCUUUCUGCCUCAAUUCCGUGUUUUUGGCCUCUUCAUCCACUUUAAUACUUCUUUUCUCAUUGCUUCUCCUUAUCUUCAAAACAACACUAACAAACACAUCAAAAACGUUCUACACUCAUAAAAUCUAGUAUUUAAUCAAGCUAAAAAUGUGCGAAAACCAUGAGUGAAACAAACUCAUCAGUUACAAC
rnacentral:lncRNA from 1 species